GACGAACGCUGGCGGCGUGCUUAACACAUGCAAGUCGAACGGAAAGGCCCCUUUGGGGGUACUCGAGUGGCGAACGGGUGAGUAACACGUGAGUAACCUGCCCUUGACUUCGGGAUAACUUCAGGAAACUGGGGCUAAUACCGGAUAGGAAUCCUUGCUGCAUGGUGGGGGUUGGAAAGCUUCGGCGGUUUUGGAUGGACUCGCGGCUUAUCAGCUUGUUGGUGGGGUAGUGGCUUACCAAGGCUUUGACGGGUAGCCGGCCUGAGAGGGCGACCGGCCACCUUUGGACUGAGAUACGGCCCAGACUCCUACGGGAGGCAGCAGUGGGGAAUAUUGCACAAUGGGCGGAAGCCUGAUGCAGCAACGCCGCGUGCGGGAUGACGGCCUUCGGGUUGUAAACCGCUUUCAGCAGGGGCGAAGCUUGUGGUGACGGUACCUGCAGAAGAAGCACCGGCUAACUACGUG
rnacentral:rRNA from 1 species